rnacentral:rRNA from 1 species
UGGGUUUGACAUCCUUUGACACCCCUGGAAACAGGGCUUUCCCGACUUGUCGGGACAGAGUGACAGGUGCUGCAUGGCUGUCGUCAGCUCGUGUCGUGAGAUGUUGGGUUAAGUCCCGCAACGAGCGCAACCCUUGUCUUUAGUUGCCAGUAUUCAGUUAGGCACUCUAAAGAGACCGCCUCGGUUAACGGGGAGGAAGGUGGGGAUGACGUCAAGUCCUCAUGGCCUUUAUACCCAGGGCUACACACGUGCUACAAUGGUUAGGACAAUGAGAAGCGAUACCGCGAGGUGGAGCAAAUCUAUAAACCUAAUCUCAGUUCGGAUAGCAGUCUGCAACUCGACUGCUUGAAGCUGGAAUCACUAGUAAUCGUAAAUCAGCUAUGUUACGGUGAAUACGUUCCCGGGUCU